GCGCCAUUAGUUUAACGGUAGAACGAAGGUCUCCAAAACCUUUGGUGAGAGUUCGAUUCUUUCAUGGCGCG
rnacentral:tRNA from 2 species